rnacentral:lncRNA from 1 species
GGCCUGCUUGGGACAGAAAAGGUGCCCUCUAGUGGCAGCCGUCGUAGCAUAAGCUCCUCCCGCUUGGAGCAGCCGGUUGAGAAACGGGGAGCUCACACCAAAUUGAAAGGCCUUCCCUCACCGAGCUCCCGGGCCCAGAGUACGGAGCGGGGCCGGGAGGAACUACAGGCCCUCAGAACCGAGGUUUUGACGUUGCGGCGGCGCCUGGAUGCUUCGGAGAGCCAACGCAAAACCCUCCUUGAGGCUUGCUGGCAGCAAGAGAAAAGCCGGGCCUGGGCUCAGGAGAGGCAGUUGGGUUCAAUGGUGGGAGCGGCGGCCUGGCAAAAGACAAAGGGCUCCCCAGAGAUCCAUGGGGUUUGCCAGGCCCCCAGGAGCAAAGGACAGGCCUCGGUGAUGGCGGCUGGUGGGGAAGUCUCUGUGGCAGAAGAAGUUGAAGAAGAUGGAGGGGCGGUUGAACCCAAGGCUGUGGCAGAUCCGGGGAAGGAGCUGACCUCGGACGUAGAGACGUCUGAAACAGGAGAAGAUGCGCCAGCCACACGGCAGGCCCACGGGGAGACUGAGGCAGAGGGCCAAGGAGGCAGGACCCCUGACCCGGAGGGGAACGUGGAAGGUUUGCAGGAGGACCUCCUGGACUUGGCCUCUGGCAAGGCCCAAGCCGAAGCCCAAGCCAUCUUGGCCCAGGAAAAGCUCCAGGUCCUGCAGGCCACGCUGGGGAGGCAGACGGAGCGGUUGGCACGAGCCAUGGAGACCCAGAGCCGCCAUGUGGAGGAGCUGCUGGCGGACGCCGAGGAGAAGGAGCAGUUGAUGAGGAGCCUCCGCCAGGAGCUGGAGGAGACCAAGAAAGCCUUGGAAAUGGCCGACGCCGAGGGCCAGAGGCUGCGGGCUCUGCUGGGGCAGAGGGAGGCGGAGGGGCACCAUGCAGAAAGCCCCUCAAACACCUUGGAGGUGCGCGGAGGCAGCGAGACCUCAGAGGUCCCUCUGGUGUCGGCCCAGCUGCAGGGAGACAUGUUGAGCAUUGCGGAUGUUGGUCUAGCGGGACGUCUGCCCGAAGAGAAGCCGGUGCAGCCGGGAGUCCAGGAACAACUGGAGGCCUCUCUUGCCCAGCUUCAGCAGGAAAACCUGGUCCUGCGCAAGGAGCUGGCUACCUGGGAGGCCUGGCACCAGAAAAGAGGAGAGGAGGACACCACUGGCCCCUUGGGACUGGCUGGCUCAGGAAACGGCAGAGAAGCAGCCGAGACUGCAGAUGGUAAGGGGAGGGUGGGCAUAGAAUAUAGAGGGGAGAGAAUCCAAACUGGGGAAGGAAGAGAAGAGGAAUAUAGUGGUACCUCGGGUUAA